rnacentral:rRNA from 1 species
GACGAACCGUGCGAACGUUGUUCGGAAUCACUGGGCUUAAAGGGCGCGUAGGCGGGUCAGCCAGUCCGGGGUGAAAUCCUUCGGCUUAACCGGAGAACUGCCUCGGAGACGACUGAUCUGGAGGGAGGUAGGGGCGGCCGGAACUUCCGGUGGAGCGGUGAAAUGCGUUGAUAUCGGAAGGAACGCCGGUGGCGAAAGCGGGCCGCUGGACCUCUACUGACGCUGAUGCGCGAAAGCCAGGGGAGCGAACGGG